GGUUCUUGCGCAGCUCGUUUUUUCGCUUUCCUCUCGAGCCAGUUAGAAACUUCUUUUGUUCGAGAGAGAGAUUCUCUUUCUCUCUUUUCUUUGUGAUUGUAGCUGUGUAGAUAGGUUUUUUUCCAUGCCCCAGGGUGAUGCGGUGGAACAAUGGAAGGAGGAUUCCAUCAGACGAGAGUGAUCACAACGCCGCCGCCGCCGCUACCACCGGCAACAAAGAACCGAGUAUAAACAACGCUUGCGAGAGAGCAAUCGAUGAGAGAUCCAAAGCAUUGCAGCAUUGGAGAUCGAGGUUCCAAGGUCCCCAGCUCCUCCGUUUAUACAGAAGAAGAGCUUUACAAAACUUCCAUUGGUUUUUGCUAGAGAGCGCUACGUACCGUCCCUCACGCUCCAUAUGGAGGAAUGGGAAUGGUCUGAGCUGAGCUCUCAGCUCUCGAGAGUUGCCCGGCUUGACACAUCCAAGAACACAGGCACGAAAAGCUACGCUUUGAUAAUUUUUCUCCCUCGUAGACUUUCGGGCUUGCAGGUGCACAGACACACAGAAGUUGCGCUGGCGCUGGAGAAGCUGUCAACCUUAUUGUUAGUGCUUCCAGAUGCUAAGGUUUCAAUCUUCAUACUGUUUCUUGGCAGGAUUAUAUUACUCUCCCGCUUCUGCAAUCGCUAAUGCAAGUUGCUGUUACAUGCUAUCAGCUUUCUUUUAAAACUAUCUUUGUGAAGAAAUUUUUUCUUUGCAACUGAAAUUUAUCUC